rnacentral:rRNA from 1 species
AGCAGUCGCCGCGGGAAUACGUAGGUCCCGAGCGUUGUCCGGAUUUAUUGGGCGUAAAGCGAGCGCAGGCGGUUAGAUAAGUCUGAAGUUAAAGGCUGUGGCUUAACCAUAGUACGCUUUGGAAACUGUUUAACUUGAGUGCAAGAGGGGAGAGUGGAAUUCCAUGUGUAGCGGUGAAAUGCGUAGAUAUAUGGAGGAACACCGGUGGCGAAAGCGGCUCUCUGGCUUGUAACUGACGCUGAGGCUCGAAAGCGUGGGGAGCAAACAGGAUUAGAUACCCCGGUAGUCCCUGUCUCUUAUACA